rnacentral:rRNA from 1 species
UACAGAGGCCCCGAGCGUUAAUCGGAAUCACUGGGCUUAAAGGGUGCGUAGGCGGACUUGUAAGUGUCGUGUGAAAGCCCACUGCUCAACAGUGGAACAGCACGGCAAACUGCAAGCCUUGAGGAAUCUAGAGGCCGGUAGAACGAUUGGUGGAGCGGUGGAAUGCGUAGAGAUCAAUCGGAAUGCCAAAGGUGAAGACAGCCGGCUGGGGAUUUCCUGACGCUGAGGCACGAAAGCGUGGGGAGCAAACAGG